CCACAUCGACAUAUCCAUCCAGGUUCGUAGUGUUUCAGACCGAAUCUAACCGCGCGUGAAGAUAUACGCUGAUAAAGUGCAACAGACUGAAUAUAAAAUAAAACGAAGUAGAUAUGGGAGAUAAUAAAGAACAAAACCAAAAAAUGAAGACUGGUGCACAAGUUGGUGCAGCAGUUGGUACUACAACCGGGAUGGCAGUUGGAAGCCUCUUGGGCCCGCCUGAGGCAGCGGCUUUUGGUGUCAUAGGCUGCAGCCUUGGCAUGGCUACCGGCGGCUUAAUUGGCACCUUGGCUGGCAGAAAGAA